AAAAAAAAAAAAAAAAAAAAAAAAAUAUGGUAAAAGACGAAAACGCUACUUUAACAGGUCACAAAUUAUUUUAGGAAUACAAUUGACAACAUGCCUUGGAUCCCCUCACCCCCAAAAUUCCCCCAAUCACAUCCAGUAUGGAAAAACUUUAAUAUAAUAUCAAAAUUUUGGGAUCAAUUGCCACUUCUGCAUUCUCCCAUCUGAGGCUGUAAACUACCUUCCACAUAGCAGUUAUGUCCCAUAUAUAUGUCUGUGUACAGGAGGGGCAUCGAAAGUUUUAACCACAUCCAUCCAUGGUUUGUCUAUGAUCACAAUAGAAUUUUCAGAAAGGUUUCCAAUANNNNNNNNCAGGAUCUCUGAAAGCAAGAAAUUCAAAAUUUUUUUUGAUGUUUAGCCUCUGUUUGAUACUCUUUCAACCUACGUUUCAAUCUCCCAUUAAUAAGAGCAUUUUGUAACUUCUUCAACGGAGAAUGCUGAUUGUUUACCAAUUUAUUGUCCUCCUCUCGAUCCACUGGAAUCCCAAAGUUAAUCAAGCACAUUGCCCUGGCACUAUAAAUGAUGACAGAAGGUGGACUUGAUAAAGGUAAGAAUGAAAGCCCUAUAACCUCCCCAGGAAAUUCUUGGUAUCUCUUGGGCAGAACAAAUGUAUGCCGCAUUGACCAUUCUCCCAAUUGUUUUGCCUCCACAUCAAAUGCAUAAACCUGGUUUGAAGAGGUGGUGAUUACAAGCACAUUGUUAUUUUGAGGAGGAAAACCGCCGGCUGUAACAGAGGCACCAUCCAAUCUUGACAUAAACCAAUGUUGCCUUUGUGUCUCCAGAUUAAAUAUAUAUACAUCUCCAAAGCAAUUGACAGCAGCUAACCACUGCCCAUCACCACUGGUGAACAAUUUAGUUAUAGGAGGCUCAGUGGGUGGUAAUUCCUCAUCACAUUCUUCACGCUGAGGGGUGAAGGUAUGCAUUAGUUCUGAGCUGCCCACAUCCACAACAUAUAUUCUUCUAUCAUGCCCCGCUAUCAUCAACCUUGAAGAAUCAGAACUAAAUACCAUGGAAUGCGCAUAUGGUAAUUUCUGAGGAAGUUGCUUUUUGUUAACAGUCCAUGCAGUUUUGCCACUAUGUUUCUUCAAUUCAAAAAGAUUGGGUUUAACAUGGUCUGAAUAUGCAAACAGUGUUCCCGUAUUAGAAAUGCUGCUGCAUAUGAUCUUCCGAGAUGCUUUAGUUUUAAUUCGAGCUAGCAAAUCUGUAUCUGCAUGACCUCUAGAAGGGCCAGGACCACUAUCUGGCAUGAAUCCACUUUUCACACGAACACAGAGAAUAUCUAGCCAAUAAGAUCCUUGAACUAGAAGCAAAGAAUUCCGGUUGAAUACAGUAUUAAGAACUAACUGAAUAGGCACUCUCUGUGGUGCAGGGCAGAUAUCAUGUGGAGAGAACUUAGUGAAUUCCUUGGCAGAAUAGGCAAAGAGCUUCGUGUCAUCACCAGCAGAGAUAAGCAUGGGAACUCCCAGAUGGGCCCACUUACGAUAACUAAAAUCAACAGGCCUCUUUCUACUACGAAUUCUUUUUACCUUUUCAUCAGGCAAUGGAUCUUCCCGACUUAUUGGUACUGCCACUGUCAGUGCCCUAACAUCAUGAGUGUGAGCUCUUACAUAACCCACAUAUACCCAUUUCUUCAUCACUUUAGCAGACACAUCUUCACUAGAUCCAACCAUCUCACUAGAAAGCUUAUAAAGAAUAACCUGACCAUCAGAUCCAGCUGAGAACACCCUAUUAUGACUAGGUGCAGCUGCCAGAGCAUUCACAUCACCCUUGUGAGAAGAAUGUGCCUGCAACAGUGUCCCAUGCUGAGAGUCCCAAAACUGCACACUACCAGUACUGUCUGCACUAACAAGCGUCCCACAUCUCAGGGCAAGUAAAUACCAUAUACAAAGUUCAGGUCCACUACCCAAACCACCAAGCCCAACUGUAAUCCUGUAUAUCUCAUGACCCACUUUAGCAUCCCAGCACCUUAUAAAUCCAUCACUACUCCCUGAAUACAUCUUACUUGCAUCAGAACUCCACGUCACACUUAAAACUCGCCCACUGACCCUUGGCAACGUUUUGUUAUAUAUUAACUCAUUUGAGUCGGGAAUAGUGUAUAUCCGCACGCAGCCAUCAUCACAAGCAAUCGCUAUACGUGGAUUCUCAACAACAGAUUGCUCAUGAAGUUCAUCCGAGUCUGAAUCAUCUUCACUUUCACUGGAUUGACAAUCAUCAAUGUUAUUCUGUUUAUCAUUUAAAUAUCCAUUUCCAAGGUUCUUGGAAUCAAGAUCUUUUUCAAUUGGCGGAUUACUAGAAGGCUCCACUGCCAUCUGCCAAAUUGAGACUGCAAUCGACUCUAGGACAGUCUUCUGCUUCAAAUGAAAAAG
rnacentral:misc_RNA from 1 species